rnacentral:rRNA from 1 species
UGGGGAAUCUUGGACAAUGGGGGAAACCCUGAUCCAGCCAUGCCGCGUGAGUGAUGAAGGCCCUAGGGUUGUAAAACUCUUUCGGCGGGGACGAUAAUGACGGUACCCGCAGAAGAAGCUCCGGCUAACUUCGUGCCAGCAGCCGCGGUAAUACGAAGGGGGCUAGCGUUGUUCGGAAUUACUGGGCGUAAAGCGCGCGCAGGCGGCCAUCCAAGUCAGUGGUGAAAGCCCAGAGCUCAACUCUGGAACUGCCAUUGAAACUGUUUGGCUUUGAGUACGGGAGAGGUGAGUGGAAUUCCCAGUGUAGAGGUGAAAUUCGUAGAUAUUGGGAAGAACACCGGUGGCGAAGGCGGCUCACUGGCCCGUUACUGACGCUCAGGCGCGACAGCGUGGGGAUCAAACAGGAUUAGAUACCCCGGUAGUCC